AUGUCCAUAAGAUUUUGCAACCACAAAAUAUCAAAUUCUAGAACUCAAAAUGCUGAAAAGGAUAUUUCUAUCAGCAUGUCUAUAAAUGGCCAGACAGAAGGAUUCUUACCGAUAUACAUGUCUGCGAAAAUAGAUUUGCAUGAAGUCAGAAAACAGUCCCACCAGCAUCUGAAAAAACAUCUGGGAAUAAGCCUUAUCAGAUAUGCUCAACAAGAUGCUUGUCACUCACAAAUCCAAAAGCACAGAGAUAACAUCUUGGCUUGUCCUGCCGAACAUCAAUUGAAUUUGAGGGAUCAAGUGGGCCUGCUCGAUAGCAAUCAGGUUUGCCACUUGAAUCAAUUUGUUAGUACCAUCUGA
rnacentral:rRNA from 1 species